AGUGAACGCUGGCGGUAGGCCUAACACAUGCCAGUCGAACGGCAGCACAGUAAGAGCUUGCUCUUACGGGUGGCGAGUGGCGGACGGGUGAGGAAUACAUCGGAAUCUACUUUUUCGUGGGGGAUAACGUAGGGAAACUUACGCUAAUACCGCAUACGACCUACGGGUGAAAGCAGGGGAUCUUCGGACCUUGCGCGAUUGAAUGAGCCGAUGUCGGAUUAGCUAGUUGGCGGGGUAAAGGCCCACCAAGGCGACGAUCCGUAGCUGGUCUGAGAGGAUGAUCAGCGACACUGGAAGUGAGACACGGUCAAGACUCCUACGGGAGGCAGCAGUGGGGAAUAUUGGACAAUGGGCGCAAGCCUGAUCCAGCCAUACCGCGUGGGUGAAGAAGGCCUUCGGGUUGUAAAGACCUUUUGUUGGGAAAGAAAAGCAGCAGGUUAAUACCCCGCUGUUCUGACGGUACCCAAAGAAUAAGCACCGGCUAACUUCGUG
rnacentral:rRNA from 1 species